rnacentral:rRNA from 1 species
GUCCACAUCGACGGGGAGGUUUGGCACCUCGAUGUCGGCUCAUCACAUCCUGGGGCUGUAGUAGGUCCCAAGGGUUGGGCUGUUCGCCCAUUAAAGUGGUACGCGAGCUGGGUUCAGAACGUCGUGAGACAGUUCGGUCCCUAUCCGUCGCAGGCGUAGGAAAUUUGAGAAGACCUGUCCUUAGUACGAGAGGACCGGGAUGGACGUACCUCUGGUGUACCAGUUGUUCUGCCAAGGGCAUGGCUGGGUAGCUAUGUACGGAAUGGAUAAGCGCUGAAAGCAUCUAAGCGCGAAGCCAACUUCAAGAUAAGAUUUCCCACCGCAAGGGUAAGACCCCAGAAAGACUAUCUGGUUGAUAGGUCGAAGGUGUAAGUGCAGCAAUGUAUUUAGCUUAUCGAUACUAAUAGGUCGAGGACUUGACCAAAUU